rnacentral:tRNA from 1 species
GACCAGAUAGCCUAGUGGUUAAAGGCAGCACAUCUAGCAUUGUGAGCUGAAGUCCCAGGCUCAACUCCUGGUCUGGUCA